rnacentral:rRNA from 1 species
GAGCGAGAUUAAGAGGCUUGCUUCUUAUGAAAGUGGCGCAUGGGUGCGUAACGCGUAUGCAACCUACCUUAAUCAGGGGGAUAGCCCGAAGAAAUUCGGAUUAAGACCGCAUAAAAACACAGGAUAGCAUUAUCCAAUGUGCAAAUAUUUAUAGGAUUAAGAUGGGCAUGCGUGUCAUUAGCUAGUUGGCGGGGUAACGGCCCACCAAGGCGACGAUGACUAGGGGAUCUGAGAGGAUGACCCCCCACACUGGUACUGAGACACGGACCAGACUCCUACGGGAGGCAGCAGUAAGGAAUAUUGGUCAAUGGAGGGAACUCUGAACCAGCCAUGCCGCGUGCAGGAAGACAGCCCUCUGGGUCGUAGACGGCUUGUAUUCGGGAAUAAAGCUUUCUACGCUGUAGGAAGCGGAAUGUACCGAACGAAUAAGGAUCCGCUAACUCCGUG